GCGGCAUCACUUGCAACUUAAUGAAUUCGUAUUUCUAAUCGAAUACAACAAAGUAAGUGUUGCCAAGAGUAAUACACCUCUACGGAUUAGACCUUCAGACAUAGUUGAGGCGACAUAACCCACGCCACGAUUGUAUCACUCAAAGUCUUACAAUU
rnacentral:snoRNA from 1 species